rnacentral:rRNA from 1 species
UGGGGGAUCUUGCACAAUGGGCGAAAGCCUGAUGCAGCGACGCCGCGUGGAGGAUGAAGGCUUUCGAGUUGUAAACUCCUGUUAAGUGGGAAGAAAUACUCUGGGUUAAUACCCCAGGGGGAUGACGGUACCACUAGAGAAAGCACCGGCAAACUUCGUGCCAGCAGCCGCGGUAAUACGAAGGGUGCAAGCGUUAUUCGGAGUUACUGGGCGUAAAGAGCAUGUAGGCGGUUUGUUAAGUUAGUUGUUAAAUUCCAUGGCUCAACUGUGGUUCUGCAACUAAUACUGAUGAGCUAGAGUAUAGAAGAGAGAAGUGGAAUUCCCGGAGUAGCGGUAAAAUGCGUAGAUCUCGGGAGGAACACCGGUUGCGAAGGCGGCUUCUUGGUCUAUUACUGACGCUAAAGUGCGAAAGCGUGGGGAGCAAACA